AUUCCAGCUCCAAUAGCGUAUAUUAAAGUUGUUGUGGUUAAAAAGCUCGUAGUUGGAUCUCGGCGGUCUGAGGGCGGUUCGCUUCAGAGCGCUACUGCCCUAUAGACCGUAGUUUUGCCAGAGGUCUCAGGGUGCUCUUAACCGAGUGUCUUGCGAUGCUGGCAGGUUUACUUUGAAAAAAUUAGAGUGCUCAAAGCAGGCUUUUACGCCUGAAUAUUCGUGCAUGGAAUAAUAGAAUAGGAGGUCGUUUCUAUUUUGUUGGUUUUCGGAAAUCGACUUAAUGAUUAAUAUGGACAAUCGGGGGCACUCGUAUUCCGCCGAGAGAGGUGAAAUUCUCAGACCAGCGGAAGACGAACCACUGCGAAAGCAUUUGCCAGGGAUGUUUUCAUCA
rnacentral:rRNA from 1 species